rnacentral:rRNA from 1 species
CACGUGGACACCUACCCUUAGGUCGGGGAUAAACCCGGGAAACUGGGUAUAAUACCCGAUAGUCCUCGGAUGCUGGAAUGCACCGAGGUCUAAAGCUCCGGCGCCUAAGGAUGGGUCUGCGGCCUAUCAGGUAGUAGUGGGUGUAGCGUACCUACUAGCCUACGACGGGUACGGGUUGUGAGAGCAAGAGCCCGGAGAUGGAUUCUGAGACACGAAUCCAGGCCCUACGGGGUGCAGCAGGCGCGAAAACUUUACAAUGCUGGAAACAGCGAUAAGGGGACCUCGAGUGCCAGGUUACAAAUCUGGCUGUCGUGAUGCCUAAAAAGCAUUGCAUAGCAAGGGCCGGGCAAGACCGGUGCCAGCCGCCGCGGUAACACCGGCGGCUCGAGUGGUAACCGCUAUUAUUGGGUCUAAAGGGUCUGUAGCCGGCCGGAUAAGUCUUUUGGGAAAUCUGGCAGCUUAACUGUCAGGCUUUCAGAGGAUACUGUCUGGCUCGAGGCCGGGAGAGGUGAGAGGUACUUCA